rnacentral:tRNA from 3 species
GACCGUGUGCCCGAGUGGUUCAGGGGCUCGUCUGCAAAGCGAGUGACGUCGGUUCGAAUCCGACCACGGUCUCC